rnacentral:rRNA from 1 species
ACCGGGGGAAGAAUCACACCUGUUUGCCCUACUAACGGUGAGUGAAGCGGCAACUGCUCAAAUUUGAAAUCUGGCCCUUUUAGGGUCCGAGUUGUAAUUAGCAGAGGGCGCUUUGGCAUUGGCAGCGGUCCAAGUUCCUUGGAACAGGACGUCACAGAGGGUGAGAAUCCCGUACGUGGUCGCUAGCCUUUGCUGUGUAAAGCCCCUUCGACGAGUCGAGUUGUUUGGGAAUGCAGCUCUAAAUGGGAGGUAAAUUUCUUCUAAAGCUAAAUAUUGGCCAGAGACCGAUAGCGCACAAGUAGAGUGAUCGAAAGAUGAAAAGCACUUUGGAAAGAGAGUCAAAUAGCACGUGAAAUUGUUGAAAGGGAAGCGCUUGCAGCCAGACUUGCCUGUAGUUGCUUAUCUGGGCUUUUGCCUAGUGCACUCUUCUGCGGGCAGGCCAGCAUCAGUUUGGGCGGUUGGAUAAAGGUCUCUGUCAUGUACCUCCUUUCGGGGAGGACUUAUAGGGGAGGCGACAUGCAACCAGCCUGGACUGAGGUCCGCGCAUCUGCUAGGAUGCUGGCGUAAUGGCUGUAAGCGGCCCGUCUUGAAACACGGACCAAGGAGUCUAACAUCUAUGCGAGUGUUUGGGUGUCAAGCCCAGACGCGUAAUGAAAGUGAACGGAGGUAGGAACCCUUUGGGUGCACUAUCGACCGAUCCUGAUGUCUUCGGAAGGAUUUGAGUAAGAGCAUGGCUGUUGGGACCCGAAAGAUGGUGAACUAUGCUUGAAUAGGGUGAAGCCAGAGGAAACUCUGGUGGAGGCUCGCAGCGGUUCUGACGUGCAAAUCGAUCGUCAAAUUUGGGCAUAGGGGCGAAAGACUAAUCGAACUAUCUAGUAGCUGGUUCCUGCCGAAGUUUCCCUCAGGAA